rnacentral:lncRNA from 1 species
UAGAAUGCAAAUGGCCGCGCUUAUUUAUUGACAGGUCAUGUAAACACUUUUAUAAAAAAGGAUAAAAUGUUGGUAGAGUGUGAGUUUUUUUGUGUGAUAGAACGAAGAUUAUCAAGUGUUCAUAAAAUUUUGUGACAUGUAGUAAUACGAAGCCAUAAGCUCCUGAAAUUAAUUAGGAUCAUCGAGUUUAAAUGAAAUCACAAACUGUUAUUUAUUAAUCCAGUGUUUUAUUGACUAUUGUUUGGCCCAAUUAAGUGAG